GGCGCACGGUGGAUGCCUUGGCACUAGAAGCCGAUGAAGGACGUUACUAACGACGAUAUGCUUUGGGGAGCUGUAAGUAAGCUUUGAUCCAGAGAUUUCCGAAUGGGGAAACCCAGCAUGAGUUAUGUCAUGUUAUCGAUAUGUGAAUACAUAGCAUAUCAGAAGGCACACCCGGAGAACUGAAACAUCUUAGUACCCGGAGGAAGAGAAAGAAAAUUCGAUUCCCUUAGUAGCGGCGAGCGAAACGGGAAGAGCCCAAACCAACAAGCUUGCUUGUUGGGGUUGUAGGACACUCUAUACGGAGUUACAAAGGACGACAUUAGACGAAUCAUCUGGAAAGAUGAAUCAAAGAAGGUAAUAAUCCUGUAGUCGAAAAUGUUGUCUCUCUUGAGUGGAUCCUGAGUACGACGGAGCACGUGAAAUUCCGUCGGAAUCUGGGAGGACCAUCUCCUAAGGCUAAAUACUCUCUAGUGACCGAUAGUGAACCAGUACCGUGAGGGAAAGGUGAAAAGCACCCCGGAAGGGGAGUGAAAUAGAACCUGAAACCGUGUGCUUACAAGUAGUCAGAGCCCGUUAAUGGGUGAUGGCGUGCCUUUUGUAGAAUGAACCGGCGAGUUACGAUUUGAUGCAAGGUUAAGCAGUAAAUGUGGAGCCGUAGCGAAAGCGAGUCUGAAUAGGGCGUUUAGUAUUUGGUCGUAGACCCGAAACCAGGUGAUCUACCCUUGGUCAGGUUGAAGUUCAGGUAACACUGAAUGGAGGACCGAACCGACUUACGUUGAA
rnacentral:rRNA from 1 species